GCUUUACCUGGGAUCUUCCACCCUUAGCCUUCUCCACCGAAAUCUCUCACACCAACCUGACAGAGAGUGUCAGACCCAGCUAACCUCCUGCUCUUACCCAAUUCUUUUCUAUAAGAGAUGUCUUCCCAACCUUUUAUCUUUUAGAAUUUUAACUUAGUUUGAACUGGAGAAUGCUUACCUUCUCUCACCCCUUAGCCUCCCUUCUAUAGGCUUAUUUCAAAGGGUGUUUAAUGCUCACUAUGAGCUGAGGCCCUUGACCAAUUACCAAGUAGAUAUUUUUACCCUUAUACACCCCAUCAUUGGACCUAAGUGAUUUUUAGAUCUCAAGAAUAUUUUUCUUAAUUUUUCUCUAAUUUUGAGGCCACCCUAUAUCAGGCUUAUGCUUAUAUUAGACUUAUGCUCACAAUAGGCUUAUACGAUUUUCGGUUUCUCGUAGGUCUUUACUAUUUCCUAAGGGCCGGUUUAAAUGGCAGGAAGCACAAGUUGUGUUUCGGUGAUUAUGCUGUUGUACAUAGGAGGGAGGGGGGGAAUUAUCAUAGGGGUAGAUGGUGUUGUUUAUAGUACUAGGCCUAUUCAAGCAAUUUGAAUUGGCAAGAGGGAAAAAUUAAACAAAUUGUAUGCUAAGAUAUACAAAUAUUUGCAUAUUGAUCCAAACCAGUAUGCAUUGCGGGUGACCGCAAGAUAUCCUAUGCGGGGGUUAAAUGAUACAGUCCUCUUUGAGGCUGUUCUAAUAAUAGAUGACUAUGGUUUGCACAUUGCAUUGGAUGCACGCAACUCUUGCACAAAUAUUUUCACUAUGAAGUUAUAUGUGGAGACCAUUCCUCAAAUGUUAGAUUUGGAAGUUGGCGUUGUCGAGGAUAGGCAGACGUUGAUGCCUGGGGAAUAAGUGGCUAAAGUGGAAGAAGACACCCAACCAACACCUUGUUAUGAAAUGGCUACAUGUGGUAUGGAUGAGAAGUACAUGAGUGCAGAGUUUGGUGGGAAUGAUUUGACUGUUGUGGAUUUGAAUGAAGGUCUGUGAUCGCGGUUAUAGCCGCCGACGUAUGAAAUGCCUAUUUAUCACACGGAUGGACAGUCCUGGGGCACUGAAGUUCUCGCUAAUUUGUAAGCCAUUUUGAACAUUGCAUUAGACGAGGAGAUGAACAUUAUGAACGAUGUUCAUUUUGAAGACAAGGAAAACUACGAGCACAAAAUUGUUGAAAGGUUAAAUGAGUUCACGGAUUACGAAAAUGUUGCCAUCCUCGAUGAUGUGAAUCCAUACCACCGUGAAAUGAAUGAUGACAUCUACAACGCACAAUUUGUGGACGAACCUCCAAUGUACGUUGUAUUUGAUGUAGAGGCUGCAGAUGUGUCAUGCCAAGAGGAGCUCCUUAUACAAGUGACUCGUUGGUAUAAGUCGUCUGAGUUGUGUAAGGGGAUGACCUUUGGGUCCAAGGAUCAGUCUAUAGUUGCGGUGUGGAUUUAUCACGCUCAAAUGCACCAUGACUUCUAUGUAGUGCAGUCUAACCCACAGUUAUAGGUUGCUAAAUGUAAGGAGGAGUUUGAGUGCAGAGGGAGAUUGGGUGCAAUGUUUCAGAAGAAACACAAUUUAUUUGAAAUCUCUUAAUAUGGGAGACAUACGUGUUUGAAUCAACUGCUAUCGCGGGACCAUAACCAAAUUACAUCAUCCCUAAUUUGUCGUGAUUUGUUUAGAUUGCCCAUUGACGGAAGGCCUGUCACUGGUUAUACGUGCGGACCAGCAGACGAUGAGAUAGACCGCCAGAGACAAUUAGCACUGCGCUGUAUGUGCCACCAACCUUAGGAGUUGUGCCACCUGACACCGCGACACACAGUUCCCACAUCCGCAUGAGAUAUCUACAAGAUCAAUUUAGUCAUUUACCAAUAGAUGCGGACGAUUAGACGAUCGUCUUCUUCGCAUGAGCCCACAUUUUGCGCUUGAUAUGUGGGACGUUUUAUUGUGAUAUUUCGGGUAGUUACGUCCAUUUGAUGUUCCUCCCACUGUUAAAGGACCUUACGCAUAUUAGUUCGUAUAGUUGGGGAUCUGCGACUUUGGCGUGGCUGUACAGAGAGAUGUGCCAUGCCACACACCCGUCGAGGAGAGAGAUCUUCGGUCCUCUACAUUUAUUUCAGAUCUUGGCAAGGGAGAGAUGCCCCUCCCUAGCUCCUUCGCGCUUGGCCAUGUGUUGCAAAUUUCGAGGGACGCAGACGGCCGUUCAGUUGAGCAAUUACCACUGGAUACCGGUGGAGGGACGGCAUAAGGGCUCCGUCUGUUGUGUAGCAUACAUUGCCUUGGUAUAGGUUCGAGUUGGACAUGCAUCGGGAGCAUGGGGUUAUAUGGAAAUCAUACACUAAUGAGAUUAUAGUCGACUUACCCGCCGAUUAUCACGUCAGGAGUGACUUAUGGGUAACUUGAGUGUCACUCAUAUGUUUUCAUAUUGUGGAGUGGUUUCUCCUUGACCAAAUUUUGUGUUAGUUUGGCUAUCGACAUGGGAUUCUCGACCCCUUCUCCACAUCGGGGGUACAUCUUCAUGCAUACGACCUCUAUACAGUUGAUGGACGCGGUCGAGGGGUGACCAAUUGGACGACUUUCCACAGGAUGUAUGUGGAUGUAUGGCAGGAUUGGGAAGAGCAUGUCAUCUCAGUGGAGUUGGAGGAUGGUCCUUUUGCGUCUGGAUGACCCAUACUUGAGGUGGUAUGGGUCCAUCACACGACACUUCGUGGAAAAGACUGCAGCUAUAUAUAUGAGCCUUAGGGGUGCAACAUGAGGAUUUCCCAGGAGGUCACCCAUCCUAAUACUACUCUCAUCCAAGCACGCUUAACUGCGGAGUUCUGGCGGGAGCUGACAUUACCGAGCCAUCUAGUAGCAAACUGUAUGCUGGAGAUGUUCCUUUAUCCUCUUAACCUUCAGGUUUGAGUACUCCGUACGACUCUCCUACCACCCCAUCCACAUCAUUCCUAUUGGACGACAGUCUGGAUGCAAACGACGUGGAUGCACCAGUCAUGCCACCUUGUUCCUGUCUAACAUCAUUAUAUAAGUCAUCUUCCCAUCCGCUUCAUAUGGAUGAUGAUGCAGUACCUCAGGGCAGAGAUGGUAGACCUAUAGGACGAUGACGAGGCAUGAGACCGGAUGGAGAUGACUAGCAAGGAAAGGGCGGACUCAGACGACAGCCACCCCGACAGCUGAGACCACCUGCGUAUGACCCUUGAGUAGUCAUUGUUGUAUAUGUACUUUACGACCUAUAUUGUGUUGUACAUUAGUCUGAUUCUUAUGUUUUCAUAUGUAUGACCCAAUUGCAUUAUUUCUGUAUAAUUGCGAAUGUUUUUUUUUUGUUCCAUAAUAUAUGUAUAUGUAAUUGGAAAAUACUUCUUGCAUGUCUCAAUAUAUGCAAUUGUCUAUGAAAGUUACGAAAUAUUGUUAUCAA